GACGAACGCUGGCGGCGUGCUUAACACAUGCAAGUCGAACGAUGAAGAAGAGAAACGCGAACUUCGGUUCAAAUUUCACUUCGGAUUAGUGGCAGACGGGUGAGUAACGCGUGAGCAACCUACCUCUUACAAAGGGAUAGCCUCGGGAAACCGUGAUUAAUACCAUAUGACACAUUCAUAAGGCAUCUUAAGAAUGUUAAAGCUACGGCGGUAAGAGAUGGGCUCGCGUCCCAUUAGCUAGUUGGUGAGGUAACGGCCCACCAAGGCGACGAUGGGUAACCGGCCUGAGAGGGUGAACGGUCACAUUGGAACUGAGACACGGUCCAAACUCCUACGGGAGGCAGCAGUGGGGAAUAUUGCACAAUGGAGGGAACUCUGAUGCAGCGACGCCGCGUGAGCGAUGAAGGAAUUCGUGUCGUAAAGCUCUGUUCUAUGGGAAGAAAAGGACUGUACCAUAGGAGAAAGCCCCGGCUAAAUACGUG
rnacentral:rRNA from 1 species